UACGUAGGGUGCGAGCGUUAAUCGGAAUUACUGGGCGUAAAGCGUGCGCAGGCGGUGAUGUAAGACAGAUGUGAAAUCCCCGGGCUCAACCUGGGAACUGCAUCUGUGACUGUAUAGCUAGAGUACGGUAGAGGGGGAUGGAAUUCCGCGUGUAGCAGUGAAAUGCGUAGAUAUGCGGAGGAACACCGAUGGCGAAGGCAAUCCCCUGGACCUGUACUGACGCUCAUGCACG
rnacentral:rRNA from 1 species